CAUAAAAAUUACAGUUUUUAAUAAUAUAAUUAUAAUACAAAAGUAUGGAAAUUACAACUGCUUAAUUUUGUUGUUGGAUAUUGUUUAUAAUUUUUUUCAAUUUCCAUAUUAAAAUUACUUGUGCUGCCUCUAAGUAUAUAUGGUAGAGAUGGUCAUCAGUUAAGCAUAAACGGUGUGGGUUUUUAAUUUUUUUCAUAUGAGAAAAGGCCUGUUUACACACGUAAGUGGAUCUAACCAUACUUAAGUAUUUUUCAGUUGUAUUUUUAAUUUUUGAAAAUGAUGCAGGAAGUUCAGCGACAAAAAGUAAAGGCGAUGCUUUGAAUCCGUCUCUUUAAGAUAUUUCGUGGCUGCAAAUCUAUUAUUUCCAUUUGAAGCUCAACACCAACAUCUUCAACAUCAAUAUUAAAGGGAUUGGCGAGUAGUCAAAAAUAUUGUGAAUGUCCUUUGAAAUCUUGAAAUCGAUUAUUGUAAAUUCUUGUUGAAGAAUCGAAAUACCUUCAACAAAUUUAACUGAUGACUGAUAGAAACGUUCAAUUAUAUAGAUAGUUUAAAGCGGGCCGUAUACGAUAGACGCGCGGGCCGCCGGUUGCCGACCACUGGUCUAUACGAAUAGCCUCAAUUGCCAAAAGGCCAACGAGAAAUGUUUCAUAAUUAAUUCAAACAAAAUGCCACGGCGUCAUUAUUUGGAGGGAGGGGGAAGAAGGGUUAACAAAGGGUGCAUUUUUCCCCGUAUGUAUAUAUAUAUGUGUCUAAAUAAGGCACCAGUGCUGUGUUAUAUAUUGAACUCUAUCCUCUGGGAGCAUGGACUUCUUGUCACCCGGCCUAGUUCUGGGGACCUCGAUGCAAAAGACUAUUUCGGAGCACAUUUAAAAGGUAUACCGUUGCAUGUUUUUAUUAAAAAAAACAUUGCGUAAACAUAAUACUAUCAAGUAUAAUUUCGUAAUUUUUUUCGAUGCCUAAUAUGCUAGGUGAUAUAU